rnacentral:tRNA from 1 species
AAGUAAGAAACAAUAUCUUGUAUUUAGUUUCGACCUAAAAUUUUGGUAUAUUUCUACCCUUACUUU